rnacentral:rRNA from 1 species
GACGAACGCUGGCGGCGUGCUUAACACAUGCAAGUCGAGCGGAAAGGCCCUUUGGGGUACUCGAGCGGCGAACGGGUGAGUAACACGUGAGUAACCUGCCCCCUUCUCUGGGAUAAGCCUGGGAAACUGGGUCUAAUACCGGAUACGACCAUGACCUGCAUGGGUUGUGGUGGAAAGUUUUUCGGUGGGGGAUGGGCUCGCGGCCUAUCAGCUUGUUGGUGGGGUAGUGGCCUACCAAGGCGACGACGGGUAGCCGGCCUGAGAGGGCGACCGGCCACACUGGGACUGAGACACGGCCCAGACUCCUACGGGAGGCAGCAGUGGGGAAUAUUGCACAAUGGGCGGAAGCCUGAUGCAGCGACGCCGCGUGGGGGAUGACGGCCUUCGGGUUGUAAACCUCUUUCACCAUCGACGAAGCCUGCCCUUUUGGGGU